UACAGGGGGUGCAAACGUUGCUCGGAAUUAUUGGGCGUAAAGAGCUCGUAGGCGGUCUGUCGCGUCUGCUGUGAAAACUCAGGGCUUAACCCUGAGCUUGCAGUGGGUACGGGCAGACUAGAGUGCGGUAGGGGAGACUGGAAUUCCUGGUGUAGCGGUGAAAUGCGCAGAUAUCAGGAGGAACACCGGUGGCGAAGGCAGCUCGCUGGGACGUUACUGACGCUGGAGAACGCGAAAGCGUGGGGAGCAAACAGG
rnacentral:rRNA from 1 species